rnacentral:rRNA from 1 species
UACAGAGACUGCAAGCGUUAUUCGGAUUCACUGGGCGUAAAGGGUGCGCAGGCGGCUAAGUGUGUCAGGUGUGAAAUCCCGAGGCUCAACCUCGGAACUGCGCCUGAAACUACUUGGCUAGAGUAUUGGAGAGGGUAACGGAAUUCACGGUGUAGCAGUGAAAUGCGUAGAUAUCGUGAGGAACACCAGAGGCGAAGGCGGUUACCUGGACAAUUACUGACGCUCAGGCACGAAAGCGUGGGGAGCAAAAGGG